UACAGAGGUCUCGAGCGUUGUUCGGAUUUAUUGGGCGUAAAGGGUGCGUAGGUGGCGUGGUAAGUCGGAUGUGAAAUCCCGGGGCUCAACCCCGGAACUGCAUUCGAUACUGCCAUGCUAGAGUACUGGAGAGGAGAUUGGAAUUUACGGUGUAGCAGUGAAAUGCGUAGAUAUCGUAAGGAAGACCAGUGGCGAAGGCGGAUCUCUGGACAGUUACUGACACUGAGGCACGAAGGCCAGGGGAGCAAACGGG
rnacentral:rRNA from 1 species